UACUAUUCUGCUAUGAAAAACAAGAACAUCAUGAAUUUUGCAGACAAAUGGAUGGAACUUGAGAAUAUCACCCUGAGUACAGUGACCCAGUCCCAAAAUGACAUGUAUGAAACUCAGAGGAGCAAGAAAACUAUUCUCACCUACUGAAACCAGACUCAUCUAACUCUGCAACAUCCAAUCUCUGUACGGAGACCUUUGAGCAGGGACCAGGCAUUGACCCUCCUCCUGGGAGAAGUCCACAGUUAUACCAUUGAUUGUCAACAAAUCACAAAAUAAAAGACAACAGCUUGAAAAUU